rnacentral:lncRNA from 1 species
CACGUGGAGUGUGGCCCUGUGGGCAAGGGCUGGGCUCUUGGAGGUAGGGGAGCUACAGGGGCGACUGGGAGGAGGAUGUUGUGUUACACACGCAUCAGAGUUAACUUUGCAGUGAGAGCGGCCUUGCUGCGGCCAAAGAACAUGGAAAAGCAUGAGUGGGGUGAUGUGCCUUAAAGCAUCAGACACUUGGGCCUCGGGCAUCAGGAGCCAGCCACAGGGAUGUCUGGGGAAAUGGCGUUCCAUGAGAUGCAAGCACACAAGAAUGCACUUGGCACAUCUGGGGAACAGCAGGCAGCUGAUAUCACUGGGCCCACCCCGCACCAGGGAGGAUGGAAGCAGGUGAGGAGCUAGACCACACUGAGGCGGUGGUCGGGACUCAGAGUUUGCUCAGUGAGCCGUUCACUAGGUGCAGGGGCAGUUCCCCGUCUGAAUUUAGGUGACGACACUCAGGUCCAGCCUUGCCAGUCUCAGCCUCCGGUCUCCGUUCCCCCUCUGCAGAGGUCACUUUGUCUGCUGCACGUGAUCAUGAGGGGUUGUGAAGUGCUUGCCCCAUCAGUAGCCAUGUGUGCAUGUGUAAAUACCAUCCUCUGUGUGCCCUGGAGGCUGUCCUUCAGAUAGCAUGUACAGGUGGCAGCAUAGGGCCUGUCCCUAGUGAGAGUGCAGGGAACUCAGCACCGUCAACUCCUCGACCCUGCAGGUCAGAUUAUCCUUGUAGAGGCCCCCUGGAUGGCACCAAGAUCGGCCCUGGCAAGCAGGUGACCCUGACUUCAGAGCCCUUGCCUGAGGGCCUGGCCUGGCAGCUCUGCUGUUAGAAGCAGGAGGUGUGCAGGGGGUGGGGAGCAGCCCAGCCUCUGUGAUCUUCUCCAUGGCAGGAUCUCCCAGCAGGUAGAGCAGAGCCGGAGCCAGGUGCAGGCCAUUGGAGAGAAGGUCUCCUUGGCCCAGGCCAAGAUUGAGAAGAUCAAGGGCAGCAAGAAGGCCAUCAAGGUGUUCUCCAGUGCCAAGUACCCUGCUCCAGAGCGCCUGCAGGAAUAUGGCUCCAUCUUCACCGACGCCCAGGACCCUGGCCUGCAGAGACGCCCCCGCCACAGGAUCCAGAGCAAGCAGCGCCCCCUGGACGAGCGGGCCCUGCAAGAGAAGCUGAAGGACUUUCCUGUGUGCGUGAGCACCAAGCCAGAGCCCGAGGACGAUGCAGAAGAGGGACUUGGGGGUCUUCCCAGCAACAUCAGCUCUGUCAGCUCCUUGCUGCUCUUCAACACCACCGAGAACCUGUAUGGCCAGAAGGCAGGGCCGAGGGGUGUGGGCGGUAGGCCCGGCCUGGCUUAGUGGGGACCCAGGGCAUCAGACACAGGUACAGCACAUAGCCCAGGAGCCAGGGGGUGACUGGGGUGGCUCGGCUCGGGAGGCCUGGGACCCCACAGUGCACACUGUGCCCCUGAUGAUGUGGGAGAGGAACAUGGGCUCAGGACAGCGGGUGUCAGCUUGCCUGACCCCCAUGUCGCCUCUGUAGGUACAAGAAGUAUGUCUUCCUGGACCCCCUGGCUGGUGCUGUAACAAAGACCCAUGUGAUGCUGGGGGCAGAGACAGAGGAGAAGCUGUUUGAUGCCCCCUUGUCCAUCAGCAAGAGAGAGCAGCUGGAACAGCAGGUCCCAGAGAACUACUUCUAUGUGCCAGACCUGGGCCAGGUGCCUGAGAUUGAUGUUCCAUCCUACCUGCCUGACCUGCCCGGCAUUGCCAACGACCUCAUGUACAUUGCCGACCUGGGCCCCGGCAUUGCCCCCUCUGCCCCUGGCACCAUUCCAGAACUGCCCACCUUCCACACUGAGGUAGCCGAGCCUCUCAAGACCUACAAGAUGGGGUACUAACACCACCCCCACCGCCCCCACCACCACCCCCAGCUCCUGAGGUGCUGGCCAGUGCACCCCCACUCCCACCCUCAACCGCGGCCCCUGUAGGCCAAGGCGCCAGGCAGGACGACAGCAGCAGCAGCGCAUCUCCUUCAGUCCAGGGAGCUCCCAGAGAAGUGGUCGACCCCUCCGGUGGCUGGGCCACUCUGCUAGAGUCCAUCCGCCAAGCUGGGGGCAUCGGCAAGGCCAAGCUGCGCAGCAUGAAGGAGCGAAAGCUGGAGAAGCAGCAGCAGAAGGAGCAGGAGCAAGUGAGAGCCACGAGCCAAGGUGGGCACUUGAUGUCGGAUCUCUUCAACAAGCUGGUCAUGAGGCGCAAGGGUAGGAGGCAGGGCCGCUGCCCACCCUGGGCCGGCACAUUGUAAUUCUGUCCUGCCUUUUUCUUCCUGUAUUUAAGUCUCCGGGGGCUGGGGGAACCAGGGUUUCCCACCAACCACCCUCACUCAGCCUUUUCCCUCCAGGCAUCUCUGGGAAAGGACCUGGGGCUGGUGACGGGCCCGGAGGAGCCUUUGCCCGCGUGUCAGACUCCAUCCCUCCUCUGCCGCCACCGCAGCAGCCACAGGCAGAGGACGAGGACGACUGGGAAUCGUAGGGGGCUCCAUGACACCUUCCCCCCCAGACCCAGACUUGGCCGUUGCUCUGACAUGGACACAGCCAGGACAAGCUGCUCAGACCUGCUUCCCUGGGAGGGGGUGACGGAACCAGCACUGUGUGGAGACCAGCUUCAAGGAGCGGAAGGCUGGCUUGAGGCCACACAGCUGGGGCGGGGACUUCUGUCUGCCUGUGCUCCAUGGGGGGACGGCUCCACCCAGCCUGCGCCACUGUGUUCUUCUCUUAAGAGGCUUCCAGAGAAAACGGCACACCAAUCAAUAAAGAACUGAGCAGAAA